AUGAACGCUAGCGACAGGCUUAACACAUGCAAGUCGAGGGGUAACAGGGUAGCAAUACCGCUGACGACCGGCGCACGGGUGAGUAACGCGUAUGCAACCUGCCUAUAACUGGGGAAUAGCUCCCUGAAAGGGGGAAUUAACACCGCAUAAUACUAUUGAUUCGCAUGGAUUAGUAGUUAAAUGUAGCGAUACAGGUUAUAGAUGGGCAUGCGUGACAUUAGCUAGUUGGUGAGGUAACGGCUCACCAAGGCUACGAUGUCUAGGGGUUCUGAGAGGAAGGUCCCCCCACACUGGUACUGAGACACGGACCAGACUCCUACGGGAGGCAGCAGUGAGGAAUAUUGGUCAAUGGGCGCAAGCCUGAACCAGCCAUGUCGCGUGCAGGAAGAACCUGCCCUAUGGGUUGUAAACUGUCUUUUAUAGUAGAAGAAACACAUCUACGUGUAGAUGUCUGCCAGUAUACUAUGAAUAAGCAUCGGCUAACUCCGUGCCAGCCGCGGC
rnacentral:rRNA from 1 species